ensembl:snRNA U6 U6 spliceosomal RNA
GUGCUCGCUUCGGCAGCACAUAUACUAAAAUUUAAACGAUAGAGAAAUUAGCAUGGCCCCUGAGCAAGGAUGACACACAAAUUCAUGAAGCAUUUCAUAUUUUU